CCCGCUGAAUUCGAGCAACCCGACAUCGAUCAAGGCAAGUGCAGACACCGUUUGAUCAUUUUGAACCUACUCAUUAAUGUCAUUUACUUUAUAUGCAUGUGUCCAAUGAAUGCAAACCCUAAGGACAUGAUUAGCUUUACUUACUAUUCCUUGUUCACCUGGGGUUAUGUAUAUGGGUAGACUAGGCCAUACUAGGUUUGCUUAGCUGCUCUACUCAUCUUAAACACAUGCCUAAACAAGUAUUAAUCUCUACUCAACUUGAUGCUUAAACUGUGCUGAACCUUUGGUCACUGUGGCGAUGGUGAUGAUGGAUGCUCACGAGCAUCGUGAUGAUGGUGGUGACAGGGGGAGCGGGUACCGUUGGUGGUCCGGUUUGCCGGGCGUACCCGUCUCUGCUCUCCGUAAGGACUUAGUCAGGGAGCGGCCCCCUGGGACUUACAGUGCAGCUCCAAGCUAUAUGGCUCUGGCUUGACUAAUUAUCAGGACCUCCGCUGGUAGGGUGUUACUUUCCGGGUAGGCGUAAGGAAUGUAGCUUGGGUAUUCAUAUUAAGAGGUCGGUCAGUUCGAGGUCCCAUUGCUAUGGGCACGGCUGCCGCGCGCCCCGGCAAAAACUUACGAGUGGCAUCCUAUUAGUUGGACCCUGUGAAAGGUCUCGUAGUGAAACCCUGCCUGCUCACCUUGGUAGUGUUUUGGGGAGUCAUGACCCCGGGCAAAUGGGAAUCACGACUUGGAGUGAACGUGCACACCUCUGCAGAGUGUAAAACUGAUAUAUCAGCCGUGCUCACGGUCACGAGCGGCCCAGACCCUCACUUGAUGAGCAAAUUGGAUUUACUGGAUACUUGGAGAUGGAGCUUGGCGAGGUUGCUACCUCGUGUUUUGGCGGAAUGGCUAUUCCACGUUGGCAGGAUUGCUAUCCUGUGUUAAUAAUUGGGGUUAAUCCCUGGACUUCUAUAAUUAUUAGGAUAGUCAUUUAAAAUAUGCUAAUUACUACUUACACUAAUUAAGGGUUGGGUUUAUGCGACUCAUAAUUAGUAAUAGGUUGUUCUAAUAAUAGUCAUAAUUAAAAGUGAUCAACUAAAAUGCUAGCGCAGUCAAACCAAGUCAGCUUUACCUUGUUUUAAGCCUUGCAUGUCAUUACUUUCCGUCUGUGCUUGCUGAGUUCGACAUGAGCUCACCCUUGCUAUAAUCAUUAAAGGUUGCUCGGACGAUCAGGAGUACAAUUGUGAUUUCCCUGAGGACUACCUUGAGUCUCCCGGUUGUUAGGCUCGUGUGGUUCUGCCGUCGACCUUCCUGUGGCAAGGUGGACCUGCUGCGUCGGCGUCUAGUUUCCCUUUUAUUUAUGGAACAUUUUAGCUUAUGUUUCCCCUUCGCACUUUGAUAAACAUUUGGCUUGUAAUAAUGGUACUUUUACUCUCAUUUAUGUAAUUCGUUUGAACACUGUGUUUUGUACCAUUGAUGAUGUCGGUCCAUGUGUGUGAAUUUGAGAUCCUGGCGCACAUGUGAUUUGGCACCCGAAUGCUCUCUUACAUCCGGGUGUGACAGAAGUGGUACCAAAGCCGUGUUGACCGUAGGAUCACGCAGCCUAGUUAGAAACAGCCGUUUAGAAUGUCCCUUUUGGGUGGAAUACACCAUUGGAUCUACUGACUGCCUUACUAACCUGUCUCAUUAGACUUUAUCUAUUAGCCUUAUCUACUUACUUUUGCUAACACUUCAGUUUAUUCACUUACUUCCUGCAUUUAUUACCUUGUUAUCAUUUAUUGCUUCCUGCUUCUCAUAUUGCAUUUAUGUUCUUGUUUCAACUUUUAUUACUUAUUAUUUGAACCUUUCUUGUUUACCUUGUCUUUUGUUUAUCAUUCUACUCAUAUUACCUUCUUGUUCCUUGUUUUUCAUUUAUUACUUGAGUUAUGUUUUAUUUCUGCCUUGACCAUAAAUUUCAUUACCUUGUUUUUACUUUAUACCUUCAUUACUUGUUUUCCAUAUCUCGCCAUAAAUACCACCAAAGUUCAUAUUGUUCAUCCAUUGUAUAAUCUUGGUUCAUCUUCAUUACACAUACACUUUUACCUUCAUUUAUGUUAUUCAUUUAUCUAUCAUUGUCAUGAUCUAUUAACCGUUUCCUGCAUGUCUAUGAUCUUAUGCAUAAGUAGAUGACUCACCAUUUGACCUGCCGCAAGAGCGUCAUUCGUUUCCGCCCUGUUCAAGCUGUGGAGUUAUCGUUGACUGGUCGCGUGGAUAACAUCGUGUUCCAGCCUAACCAGCAUCUCGAUGACGGUGCUAACCUCCAAGACGCGGAACCCUAUGAAGGACAACAACCACCUCAAGCUCUGGUGGUGCAUGGAAGGGCGCCUUGCUGGGCAGCUGGAGGAGAUGAUCCCUUCGGUGAUGAUGAUGACAUGGAUGAUGAUGAUGAGGAUGCACCUGGAGGACCUGGAGGACCCGGAGGACCCGGUAGACCUGGAGGACCUGGAGGUCAAGAUGGACUUUUUGCUGCUGAUGAUGGGUGGAUUGUGACAGUCUGCACAAGGGAUGGUUGAGAGUGUUUCUUCCACAGCGAGCUGAAGCGUCUCCUUGACCAGCAACUAGGACAUGGCAUGUUCUCAGUGGAGUACCGCAGUGAGCACUGGAGUCACCCAGACUACCCGGCGUACUGGAAGGUCUGGGCACACGUCGGCAGGCCUAACCCAACGCUGAGGGCACUGAGGAUCAUGUCCAUACAUGAAGCUGUGGCAGAGAGGUUUACCCAGAUGGCGGGCAUUAAUGAUGCUGCUCGUCAGGCUUUCUACGCGUACCGUGAUCACUUCUUCGAGGAGAUCAGCCAGGAUGAACACCGCUACUACCCUCGCCGUCGCCGAGGAGAGUUGGCGAUGACUAUUGCUUCCACCACGGAUGAGCAAGACCCCCGCGUGCAUAGGACUGUCAAGCUGGUGGCGGUCACUAACACCGAGCUCAACAGUUCACUAGUGGAGCUGAAGCAAGUGAGGAAGGAGCUGGACGACGCUAGGAAGAGGAUAGCGCAGCUGGAGGCUCAGAUCACUGGAGUGCCACUGCCUUCACCUAAGUGGCUUGCUUUCUCUCCGCCUCGUGAAGACCCAGCCUAUGGAGAUGCCAGCGCUCGUACUACUAUAGAAUAGGAGCUAUUCCCAGCUUAGUAAUAAAUAGUGCCACGCUUAGAACGUUAGCACGAUCUUAGUUAUGCGAGUCUAGUGCUUAGUCGUUUGCUUAGUGUGCUUUGCUUGGUCUGUGUGAGAACUUGAUUUAUUAUUGUGUUAAUGGUGUGAUUUGGUUCUUUGUAAUGAGUGCGAUGAGUUGUGGGUUGUGUCCACAACGCAUCAAGAACAAUAUUAAGUAUUAAGUUUAUAUGAGAUAGUUAGUUUGGGUUAUCAUCGGUCUCCUUUAUUUGUGCUUUAUCAUAUUUCAUAUCGCUUUAUCUUAUCAGUCUUACUUUAUCAUGAUCAGUUCAUUAUCUAUAUAUUACAUCUGUUAUGAGUACUGUGUUGAUCAACUAAGAAAGGAAAGUGACUAUCAGCUGGUUCAUACUUUGAGGAAAGAUUAUACAUUGCAGUUUACAUUACAGCUCAGGUUUACACAUAUGAACUACAUCUGAUUUUAUUAUAUUAUUUCUAUACAUCAGAUGCCUGUCAACACCAGGAGCAACAGCAAUGGAGGAAACAACGGGCAGUCCAACAACAACAAUAAUGAUCACAGCGGGACUAAUGCCAACCCUCCUCCUCCUGUGAAUCAGCUCAUGACCAUAGAGCAGUUGAUGACUAUGCAGACUCAACUGAUGCAAGGGAUGGCCCAUAUUAUGAACCACAUGCAGCAGAACCAAAAUCAGAAUCAGAACCAACAUCAAGGAGGUAACAACGCGUUUGCCCCACCUAGGGACAAGCGUGGAGAGUUCAUGAAGGGACGUCCACCGUUCUUCUCUCACUCAGCUGAUCCUAUGCAAGCUGAGGAUUGGCUUAAAGCUGUGGAGAAGCAGCUGGUCAUUGCUCAGUGCAAUGACAGGGAGAAGGUUCUGUAUGGCUCUGGGCAGCUUCAGGGAGCCGCACAAGACUGGUGGGAUUCGUACUGCUUUGCACAUCAGGACCCGGAUACUAUCACUUGGGAUGAGUUCAAGGUCGCCUUCAAGACUCAUCAUGUGCCUGCUCGAUUGGUGAAGCUGAAGAAGAAGGAGUUUCUGUCUCUGAAGCAGGGCUCCAUGACAGUUUGUGAGUACCGUGACAAGUUCACUCAGUUGUCGCGGUAUUGCCCCAAUGAGGUGGAGAACGAUGAAGACAAGCAAGACCAAUUCCUGGAAGGUUUGAAUGAUGGGCUGUCCUACAUGAUGUCAAAUGUCAAGUAUGCCAGUUUCCAGGAGAUGGUGGACAGGGCAUUGGUGCUUGAGAGCAAGCGCCGCAAGAUGGAAGACAAGAAGAGAAAGUAUAAUUCCUCUCAGCCGUCCCCGCUACAACACUCAGCAGGGCCCUCAGUCUCGCCCUGCAUAUCAGUCAGGCAACCAAGGACAGCAGCAGAAUGUCAGGUACAGCAAUCAGAGUCAGUAGACGAGCCAGCGCUACAACAACAACCAAGUGCAGCGCCCCGCUAGCCAGGCGCCUCGUCAGAAUGCCCCAGCACCAUCAGGCUCUCGCCAGAACUCCAACACUAUCCCAGCGAAGCCCAAUGUCAACCCCACCCCCACUGGAAAUACCUGUUUCAAGUGUGGUCAGCUUGGACACUACGCGAAUGCUUGCCCCCAGAAGCAGAAGAACAACAAUGGAAGGGUGAAUCAUGUGAAGCUGGAAACUGCUGAGGAGGCUCCAGAUGUGGUACUUGGUACGUUCCUUGUCAACUCUUGCCCAGCUACUAUUUUGUUUGAUACUGGAGCAUCACAUACUUUUAUAAGUGCACAGUUUGUUGAGAAACAUAGUAUAGCCACCUGUACCAUGCAAAACACCAUGAUAGUUAAAUCACCUGGGGGAAAGAUGCAUACUAAUACUUUGUGUCCGGGAAUGAGCAUUAAAAUAAGGGGGGUAGAUUUUCCUGUCAAUCCUAUUGUGUUGGGUUCAGAAGGUUUAGAUAUGAUAUUGGGAAUGAGAUGGUUGUCCAAGUUUAAGGGUACUAUUCAGUGUGCUGAGAAGUCAGUUGCUCUAACAUCACCUAGUGGGAACAGAAUUGAGGUCAGAGUUUCUAUGUCACCUAGCAGUGAAGGAACAGUCUACCAUGUGAGCAGUGGGUCAGUAGAGGAUAUUCGAGUUGUGAAAGAAUUCCCUGAUGUGUUUCCAGAGGAUUUGCCAGGUAUGCCACCUGAACGUGAGAUUGAAUUUGUUAUUGAUUUAUUACCUGGUACUGCACCCAUAUCUAAGAGACCUUAUAGAAUGGCUGUUAAUGAGUUAGAAGAACUUAAGAAACAACUAAGGGAGUUACAGUCUAAGGGGUAUAUCCGUCCUAGUUCCUCACCUUGGGGAGCUCCAGUUAUCUUUGUAGAGAAGAAGGAUGGGACACAGAGGAUGUGUGUAGACUAUAGAUCUUUGAAUGAGGUCACAAUUAAGAAUAAAUACCCUUUGCCUAGAAUAGAGGACUUGUUUGACCAGUGGAAAGGAGCUUGUGUGUUUUCCAAGAUAGAUUUGAGAUCAGGUUAUCACCAGUUGAGGAUUAAAUCUAGUGAUAUUCCAAAGACUGCUUUCACCACCAGAUAUGGACUUUAUGAGUAUACAGUUAUGUCUUUUGGGUUAACUAAUGCUCCAGCUUACUUUAUGUAUCUGAUAAAUAAAGUUUUUAUGGAGUAUUUGGAUAAGUUUGUGGUAGUCUUUAUUGAUGAUAUCUUGAUCUGCUCCAAGACUGAGGAAGAACAUGAGGAAAACCUGAGACUUGUGUUGCAGAAAUUGAGGGAACAUCAGCUCUAUGCCAAGUUGAGUAAGUGUGACUUCUAGUUGAAGGAGGUAUCUUUUCUUGGUUAUGUCAUUUCAAAUGGUGGAGUUGCUGUCAGUCCGAAGAAUGUGGCAGAUGUCCUUAAGUGGAGUCCACCUCAGACUGUGGGAGAGAUCAGAAGUUUUCUAGGAAUGGCUGGUUACUAUCGGAGAUUCAUUGAAGGGUUUUCCAGUAUUGCUAAGCCCAUGACUGCUUUGCUAGAGAAGGGUCAGCCAUUCAAGUGGAAUGAAUAGUGUUAGGCUAGCUUUGAGGAGUUGAAGAAGAGGUUGACUACUGCACCAAUUCUGACUUUGCCUGAUGUGACUAAAAGUUUUCUAUCUAUUGUGAUGCUUCCAAGCAAGGUUUGGGAUGUGUGUUGAUGCAAGAGGGAAAGGUGAUUGCCUAUGCAUCCAGACAGUUGAAGAAACAUGAGGUGAAUUAUCCAACUCAUGAUCUUGAGUUAGCAGCAGUGGUCCAUUCACUGAAGAUCUGGAGACACUAUAUUCUGGGUCAUAAGUGUGACAUCUCUACGGAUCACAAGAGUCUGAAAUACAUCUUCACUCAGAAUGACUUGAACCUGAGACAGAGAAGAUGGUUAGAGUUGAUCAAGGAUUAUGAACUGGAGAUUCAUUACCACCCUGGCAAGGCUAAUGUAGUUGCUGAUGCUCUGAGUAGAAAGAGUCAAGUGAAUAUGUUGGAAGCCACAGAGUUACCGAUGGAACUACUGGCAGAAUUUGAGUAUCUAAAUUUGGGAUUUGUUGCUAAUACCCAAGGUACUUCCAUGGACAUAGAACCAACUCUUGAGCAAGAGAUCAGAAAAGGUCAGAAAGAGGAUGAAGAGAUCAAAAAGAUACUUAAGCUGAUAGAAGAAGGUAGAGCACCUGGAUUCAAAGUUGAUCAAGAAGGGAUUGUUUGGCACAAGGACCGAUUGUGUGUGCCUGAUAUUCAGAGAAUCAAGGAUGUGAUACUGAAGGAGUGCCAUGAAUCUGCUUACUCUAUUCAUCCAGGAGGAACUAAGAUGUACUAGGACUUGAAACAAAACUAUUGGUGGCCUGGUAUGAAGAAAGAUAUUGGUGAAUAUGUGGAUUGUGUGACACCUGUCAGAGAGUGAAAGCGGAACAUCAGAGGCCAGCAGGGUUGUUGCAACCGUUGAAGAUACCUGAGUGGAAGUGGGAUGAGAUCAGCAUGGACUUCAUAGUGGGAUUGCCGAAAACUCAACGAGGUUAUGACUCAAUAUGGGUUGUAGUAGAUCGAUUGACCAAGGUAGCUCAUUUCAUACCGGUCAAAACUAACUACCGUGGAGAUCAGUUAGCAGAAAAGUAUAUGGAACGGAUUGUGUGUCUGCAUGGAGUUCCUAAGAGGAUUGUGUCUGAUAGAGGUACACAGUUUACAUCAAAGUUUUGGGAGAAGUUACAUGAUGCUUUGGGAACCGAGCUCAGAUUCAGUACUGCUUAUCACCCUCAGUCCGAUGGUCAGACAGAGAGAGUCAACCAGAUAGUAGAGGAUAUGCUCAGGUCUUGUGCUUUACAGUAUGGAGAUAGUUGGGAUACUAGUUUGCCCUACGCUGAGUUCUCCUAUAACAAUAGUUAUCAGACUAGUCUUAAGAUGACUCCUUUUGAAGCCUUGUAUGGAAGGAAGUGUAGGACUCCAUUGUUCUGGAACCAAACUGGUGAAAGGCAAGUGUUCGGCCCUGAUUCUUUGAGGAUAGCCGAAGAAAGAGUUCAGUUCAUCCGACAGACUCUGAAAGCAGCUCAGUCUAGACAGAAGAGUUAUGCAGAUGUGAGACGAAGGGAACUUGUGUUUCAGGCAGGUGAUUAUGUAUACCUGAAAGUGUCUCCGAUGAGGGGUCUAAAGAGGUUCAAUGUCAAGGGAAAGCUAGCUCCAAGAUAUGUUGGUCCUUUCAAGAUUUUGGAAAGGAAAGGAGAGGUGGCUUAUGAGCUUGAGCUGCCUGCUAGUUUAUCCAAUGUGCACAAUGUUUUCCAUGUCUCCCAAUUCAAGAAAUGCUUGAGGGUGCCUGAGGAACUGGAUUUACAGGAUGAUCUAACUUAUGAAGAGAGUCCUAUCAAAGUCCUGGACACAGCAGAGAGAAUUACCAGGAGUAAAACUAUCAGGUUGUGUAAAGUACAAUGGAAACACCAUUCUGAGGAAGAGGCAACCUGGGAAAGAGAAGAUGAUCUGAAAUCCAAAUACCCUCAGUUAUUCUCUGGUUCAUCCUAAUCUCGAGGACGAGAUUCUUUUAAGGGGGUAGGUUUAUAACACUCCAAAUUUUUGAAUUUGAAAUUUAGUUUGAAUUUGAUUUAAUUUUGGGCUUAGUUUGAAUUUUUGAGAAUUAUUAAAUAAUUUACAAAAUUAAAUAAAAUUAAAUAUAAGGUAGAAAACUUGUUCAUGUGCAUUCAUGCCGCUGCAUUUAUUUUUGUUUGACUUGCUUGCUUGUGCUUGAAUUAUUUUGUUGCAAGAAAGAAAAAUAGAAGAAACUGUUUCUGUUAAAAAAAAGGAAAAAGGAGAGCACCCACCUGGGCCGAUUCUCGGCCCAGCGCCCCGCACCCCUCCCCUCUCCCCACUCCCGCACGGCCCAGCAGCGGCCCAGCCGCAGCGCGCAGCCCGCAGCGCCCCCUGCCCCCGCCCGCAGCCGCUGACGCGUGGGCCCCGCAGGUGGGACCCACCGUCAUCCCUAACCUCCCGUCCGAAACGGACGGGGAGUCCGCGCCGCCACCCCGGUUUCCGAGCCGCACGCGCACCCCGAGGUUCACCCUAGCCUAUUUAAGGCGUCCCUCGGCCGCCCGCACCCCCCCUAAACCCUAGCCUCGCUCCCGAGCCGCCGCGUGUUCGUUUCGCCGAAACCCGCGCCGCCGCCGUCAACCUCGCCGCCGCCGCCGUCGCACUCCUCUCCGCGCUGCCGGUUUCGCGAAGGUGAGCCGCGCCCCGUCCUUGCCGCGUCGUGCCGACCCCGGUGGUGCCCUCGGCGUGCUCCGUCUCGCCCCGUAGGGCCGUGCCCGCGACCUCGUCAGCGGCGGCCAUGGCGCCGCCGUCCCUGCCCGCCGCGCCGCCGCGGCCCCGCCGCUCGCCUCGCCCGCGCGCGGUCGACGAUGGACUCGCGGCUCAGCGCCCGCGUGGCCGGUCCACCGCCCAGCGGCCUCCCCUGCCCCGUGCGCGCGGUCCACCGCGCACCCGUGGACCCGCCAACCGCCGGCCGCCACGUGGCCAGUCAAUCUGGCCGACCAGCGCCCCCCUGCGUUUUUGCAAAAAAACCCCCUGGGUUUCUUUGAAAUCAACCCGCGCUCCAUUUAGUUCAAGUUUUAUUUAAAAUAUGCACCUGCUUUUACAGUUUAGCCCCUGCACCCGUUGGUUUUUAUAUAUUUAACCCAAAUCCCUUUUUAAUUCAGUUUUUAAUUAGUUUUAAUUACGAAAAAUAGUUCAGUUUAUCUACAGAUUUGCCAUCCAACUUGUUUUAGCCAUAACUUUUGCAUCGUAACUCCGAUUUAGGUGAUUCUGGUCGCUAUAGUUUCGUUUCGUCGAGUAGAAUACAGUGGUGCAGUUGCUUUCUGUUUUCGCAUGCUUUGGUGUACUGUUUCUGAUUAAGCUUGUUUGCUUGCAUGUAUUGUUCCUUUGAUGAUGAUUGUCGCGUAUAGCCAACGAGACGUUCGUGAAGGAAGAGGUUCAGGAUCCCGCUGAAUUCGAGCAACCCGACAUCGAUCAAGGCAAGUGCAGACACCGUUUGAUCAUUUUGAACCUACUCAUUAAUGUCAUUUACUUUAUAUGCAUGUGUCCAAUGAAUGCAAACCCUAAGGACAUGAUUAGCUUUACUUACUAUUCCUUGUUCACCUAAGGUUAUGUAUAUGGGUAGACUAGGCCAUACUAGGUUUGCUUAGCUGCUCUACUCAUCUUAAACACAUGCCUAAACAAGUAUUAAUCUCUACUCAACUUGAUGCUUAAACUGUGCUGAACCUUUGGUCACUGUGGCGAUGGUGAUGAUGGAUGCUCACGAGCAUCGUGAUGAUGGUGGUGACAGGGGGAGCGGGUACCGUUGGUGGUCCGGUUUGCCGGGCGUACCCGUCUCUGCUCUCCGUAAGGACUUAGUCAGGGAGCGGCCCCCUGGGACUUACAGUGCAGCUCCAAGCUAUAUGGCUCUGGCUUGACUAAUUAUCAGGACCUCCGCUGGUAGGGUGUUACUUUCCGGGUAGGCGUAAGGAAUAUAGCUUGGGUAUUCAUAUUAAGAGGUCGGUCAGUUCGAGGUCCCAUUGCUAUGGGCACGGCUGCCGCGCGCCCUGGCAAAAACUUACGAGUGGCAUCCUAUUAGUUGGACCCUGUGAAAGGUCUCGUAGUGAAACCCUGCCUGCUCACCUUGGUAGUGUUUUGGGGAGUCAUGACCCUGGGCAAAUGGUAAUCACGACUUGGAGUGAACGUGCACACCUCUGCAGAGUGUAAAACUGAUAUAUCAGCCGUGCUCACGGUCACGAGCGGCCCAGACCCUCACUUGAUGAGCAAAUUGGAUUCACUGGAUACUUGGAGAUGGAGCUUGGCGAGGUUGCUACCUCGUGUUUUGGCGGAAUGGCUAUUCCGCGUUGGCAGGAUUGCUAUCCUGUGUUAAUAAUUAGGGUCAAUCCCUGGACUUCUAUAAUUAUUAGGAUAGUCAUUUAAAAGAUGCUAAUUACUACUUACACUAAUUAAGGGUUGGGUUUAUGCGACUCAUAAUUAGUAAUAGGUUGUUCUAAUAAUAGUCAUAAUUAAAAGUGAUCAACUAAAAUGCUAGCGCAGUCAAACCAAGUCAGCUUUACCUUGUUUUAAGCCUUGCAUGUCAUUACUUUCCGUCUGUGCUUGCUGAGUUCGACAUGAGCUCACCCUUGCUAUAAUCAUUAAAGGUUGCUCGGACGAUCAGGAGUACAAUUGUGAUUUCCCUGAGGACUACCCUGAGUCUCCCGGUUGUUAGGCUCGUGUGGUUCUGCCGUCGACCUUCCUGUGGCAAGGUGGACCUGCUGCGUCGGCGUCUAGUUUCCCUUUUAUUUAUGGAACAUUUUAGCUUAUGUUUCCCCU
rnacentral:lncRNA from 1 species